rnacentral:rRNA from 1 species
GCAAGUCGAGCGCUUCCCUUCGGGGAGGAGCGGCGGACGGGUUAGUAACGCGUGGGAACGUACCCUUUUCUGCGGGAUAGCCAUUGGAAACGGUGAGUAAUACCUUAUACGCCCUUCGGGGGAAAGAUUUAUCGGAGAAGGAUCGGCCCGCGUUAGAUUAGAUAGUUGGUGGGGUAAUGGCCUACCAAGUCUACGAUCUAUAGCUGGUUUUAGAGGAUGAUC